rnacentral:lncRNA from 1 species
CGGGAGUUAUCCUUUCUAAGGGAGGGUUCACAACUUUAUGGGGAGUUCGGAGGUGCGAUGGCAGCCCCCAAUUGGGCCUUUUGUGAAAGUAAAUUUUGAUGCCUCUUUCCAGUUCACUCUAGGCAACCUUGUUCGGGUAUUAUUGUUCGGAAUGAAGUGGGUCUGGUUUUGGAAGCAAGUAUACAAAUGCAUAGUAAUGUACCUAAUGCUUUUGUUGUAGAGACUUUUGCUUUUGUCCGAGUAGUCUGUUUCACAACAGAUCUGGGGUUCAUGCAUGUUACUAUUGAGGGGGACCCUUUGGCGGUGGUUAAGAAAGCCAAUUCCUUGCAUGAUGACAAAUCAGAAAUUGCGAUGCUUAUUAAAGAAGGAACAUACAAGCUUAGAAAUUGUUUUACUGAUACUAUUAUUCAACAUUGUUUUCAAUAGGGUAAUAGAGUUGCUCGCCAUCUUGCUGCCAUAGGUGUCGCUCGAUCAGUUCAGGGUGGAGGUGGAGCCUGUUGCCGUCACUAAUCGUUGGUGAGUGGACCCGUCGGACUAAUUUAUUGAAAUCUUCAUUUCAGGGAAGCAGGUUCACCGGAUUUUAUUCUGCUUCUGGGAUGCUUCUCCUCUGGCUCUCGCUCACUACAAGACUUUUCCAAUUCAUGAGAGUUUGGCUGGUUUUUCUUUGGUUUCAGUUUCAUGUUCGGAAGGGUCUUUUGUUUUCGUUGCGUUCUUCAUGUUUUGUCUUUUGGUUUGCUUUUGUUUGCUUUGUUUUUUGGUGUGUUGUUGGUUUGACUUUUAUUUGCUUUUAGUUUUGCUUUAAAUUCUAUUUUGUUGCUCAUGUUCACAUAAAUGAAGUCUAGCUUUCGGUAAAAAAAACAACAACAACAACUAGUCUUAG